AAAAAUAGUUUCAUUGUUUCUAUAGAUCAUUUCGUCUGUCACUUUCUAUACAUAUCGAAACAUUGCAUGAGUGUUAAUGCCUCUGUUUCGGACACCCCCCCCACUUCACAAGGAGGUAAAAGCCACUGCAAGCUCACACCUUGUUCUCGGAGCUUCUCUUCCUGGUGACCCGAAUGUAGGCGAAGAUUGCCGCGAAGAUGGCGGUGGCGAGCCCUCCGAGUAUCACCUCCGCCCCGGCGAUCGACUUGUCGAAGGGUCGGUGGCGCUUCCCGAUGCGCGCCGCUCCCUCCGGUGCGCCGGCGACGCCCGACUCCCCGACGCCUGGGCUCGCGCUCUGGGAUGGCGCAAUGGCCGAGUGAGGCCCGCCGAGAUCCAGUGCGGUGACUCUGGACUCCGCCGGCGUCGGCCGCGCCACCGCUAGCGUUGCCGCGAGAUCCAGAACUAGCAAGCCCAAGAGAAGCAAGCGAGCCAUUGGCUUGGAGCAGUAUGCGUCGGUACCGAAACAAGGAGCUUCGGGUCUGGAGAUCUUGCGGGAGAGAGCUUAGUGCUUCAAGGCCUUUAUAUAAGGACAGAGGUCCUGAAAUGGUUCGUAGAGGCCUUUCUUAACGAGGGCAGGCAGUGGCAUCAUCCAUGAUGGUUCCGCCACGGUGGUCUCUUGAGCAGGUUGGCUCCAUAUUUUAGUGUCUGGAGAAGGGUGGUCAGUGGACAAGAGAGAAAGACACGGCCGCCUCCACAAGCGACAGAGGAAGCACAACUGGAUCCUCCGGAUGUGAAAGGAACUGGGGAUGGCUGAUGACAGAGGAGCACUGGGUGGCGCCGCGGUGGUGGGUGCGCCAUUUUAGUUAGUUAUUAGACCGACUGCUUCGGGAAGCGAAGAAAAGGCGCACGCAUCACGAUGACGCGUUUCUUAAUCGAGCGGUCAGCAACACUGUGGUCGGUGGACAUAAGUCAUUGGAUCUACCUUGGAAGGUCUCACGUGAGGCUAUCAGACGCCGACACGUGGUCCCCGGUAAUAAAAUAGUUCUUGAUCAGACGGCUCGGACCUUUCGGUUUGUCGAAAAGGAGAAACCUUCAGUGUCUCCUCACCAACGUAGAUUUGCGACUCUUCCAUGCAUUUAUUCUGUGUGAACAAUGUUCUGUUCGACGAUGAUCGUGCAUCGAUCUAUCAAUCUUAGACAUGGAAGCUUCCUGCGUUGUCAGCUCCUUCGUGCAGCUAAUACUUUGUUCUCUCUCUUCCAUGGAUGAUUGAUGGCAUCUUGAAUCAUGCAGCAGACAUGUUGCAGAAGCUGUCGUCGAAUCUUGAUGUUCCACGGCGUGCCCGAUGGAUCGCGGGAUCCAGAUUGCAAGAUUCCUUGCCCUGUUUCAACAUCCUAAAUCGCCGGAGAUUCUUGUUCUUCGAUUCGGUUUACUAUUGCCGGUAACUGAUGACCUACUUUGUCUUCUCACAGGCACGUCGAUGGGACGCCAAACGUUGUCCCACGGGCUUCCGCUGUCGUGUCGUUGGCGAACCCUGAACGAAGCCACCCGGAGAUGCUUCGGUAUUCCCCGACUCACCCAACAGCCCAGCUCACGACAGGCUGCCGCGGCGUCCGCCGAAAGGCGCGCUGCCGUGAACUCUCACUUCCUCGAUAGCGCGUCGCUCGUCGCAUGCUUGGUCGCGUCUUUUGUCGUGCUCCAAGGGGUGCUCUACCUUUUCCCCGAGUAUAAAGGGGGAGAGACAGAGAGAGAGAGGGAGCGCGCGUCUCAAGGAGAUUGGUGGAGGAUCCAUGAGGACCGCCGCGAAGGCCGCGUCCCUCGGCGGCUACCGAUCGGUCGGGCCGCUCGCCGGCCGUGCAGCGAUGCCUGCCGGGAGGGCUCCCAAGCCGGCCUCUUUGACCGCCUCCCCCGUGCCGCCGGCAGCCGAAGGAGGGCCGUCGAUGUCCAUCACCUCAUCCGAUAAGUGCCUCCACGAGGCGGCUACUAUCUCCACGGCGUGGGUGGGAGGAGGAGGAGCAGGGGUUCGCCCCCGAUUCGCUGCAUCCGGCCCCAAGGCUCGUGUUCGGGCCCAUCCCGACGCUGGAGGCCACUUCCAAUCUGAAAGAUGCCCUCGAGAAAGUGUAUUUCUCUCCAAGCACCAAUUUCCCUGCUACGGAAGUUCCUCAUAUGUCUGCCCACCAUGAAGCCUCAGGGAUUAUUCCAUCAAUGCAGGGACAUGUUGUUCAAGCAUUUUCACUGCUGCAAGGAAGUCCGGAAGUUCAGGUUCAAAAGAAUGCAACAAUAUUAGGAAUUUAUGAUGCACUUCUGCAUGAACUUGGUGAUGGAUUUUGUUUUCCUUGAGCAUUUUUGUGAUUAUCUGUUAAUUUAUUGCAUAGGAUAUAAAGUUAGUGUUUUACACUGAAUGAUAGGGUAGCUGUGUUAAUAUGACUGAAAUAUUUUGAGUACUACAUAACAUGUAUUGAAAGAUUUUAAGAGAUUGUAAAUGGUAAUCGAUGAUAUUGAACAACAUUCCACAAUGUCGUAACUGUUUGGAUCAGCUUCACUGUUUUUUUAUAACAAUUGAAUUUUUUAGGCAAUAUCACUAGUUAAAUCAAGAGCAGUCAAUCUCUUUUUAUUGUCUCCUUUGUCUCUUUUCUUCUCACACCACUUAUUCUGGCUGAUUCACCUUGUCAACUAUAGCAUUCAUCGGUCUUCCAUGGACAGUCAUUCAAACUUUGAGAUGUGUUAUCUAUGAAUUAAUAUGCUCGAGCUUGUGAAAAAGGCAAUAUUUUAUAUUUGAUACAUUCAAAGAAGGCAUGUCAACCUAUUUUUUGGAUACACUCUUUUAUUUUACUUCUGUUAAUUAAUUAAUGCAGUUUAGUCCAGACUUAAUCUGAUGCAGACUUAGUUAAAUGCAGUCUUACUUUAAUGCAGUCUUAGUUCUGUUAAUUUGUAAGGGCGUGUCAAGGAGUUUAAUGCAGACUUAGUUAGAAAUCAUUGGUUUAUAAUGCUUUGAACUAACAUUUAAUAGUGCACUCUAUAUUUGCUUCUGUUGGUUUGUAAGGGUUAAUGAUGAUUUUUCACUUUAAAUUUUGGACCAGUUGCCUUUCCACCUAAAUUUUGUGUAUACAUUUUGUCCAAGAAGUAAAUUGAGCAUAGUCUGAAGUCUUAUAAUGGCACAGAAUUGUGCUUUGCUUUUUUAAGAUAAUCAAGAACACAUUUCACAGAGUUUCAAUUCUGCACUUGAACUCAUGAUGUAUUAUUUAGGAUUAUGUAUCUAUUAGUUAGACGUUUAUAUGUUUAGUAUCAACCAUGAAUUACUUAACGUAAAUGUUUUUUUGUUUUGGGUGACUGCAAGUGUCUUCUUUCGGUAUGCAGGCACUAGUUCUUCCUUGAAGAAGUUAUUCUAUAGACAAAGAAGCGAUCAAGCUUGUAGUGUAAUUCUAUAAAAUCUUCCAAAUGCUCAAUUAAAGAGAACAUCUGUUGCAUCAAACUGAUGCAAGUCCACAAUUUCCUUGCUAAUUGUGGCAUAAUGUUUAACUUAAUUUAUUGUUAUUUGGCACAAAAGUGGACACCAGUAUCUAUUUCUUGCCACCAAGUCGAGGUUUUCAAAUCUCAAGUGAAAUAUUCAGAAACCUAGUCAAUCACAAUGUGCAAGACAGACUAAUAACAUAGAAGUCAUUUAACUUUAAGAAGUCAUCCAGCUGGGAUUGUAACAAUGAGCCCGAGGAUUCAACCUUUUAUCAUUAGCAGAAUUGUAACUUGCUUAUGGAUUUUGUUUGUAGAUUUUUAUGUUGUCAUACUGUUGAAACAUUACCAAUGGUGGAAUUUAUGAUAAAUUAAAUAAGAUUUACUAUCCGCUCAGAUGGAAUUUCUGUGUAGAGAACAUUCAAAGGAUCUGAAUGUGCUUUGUGAUAUCACCAAUUCCAUAUUUCUUUUCUCCGACAUUUUAAGUUCUGUUUAAUUGUUUGAAUUAAACAUCCAUGAAUUUUCUGUGACUUGCAAUUCAUUUAUAUGGUUCUUUGUGCAGGGUGUAGUUGCUUAGCUUGCUUCCAACAAGAAUGUUUGGGAUGCCAUAAUGAAGAAUGAGAAAGUCAUGGAAUUCUACAGAACUUACAUGUCAACUGAAGCAACAGGAAGAUCGGUAAUCGCGGACUUUGUGCAUGAUGUUAAGCAUAAAGUGGUGGAAACAGUGAUCAAUAAAUAUAUCCAGCUUCCUUCAAGAACUUUUGAGGAUUUCAGCAGGAGCUUCCAGUUCAACCAACACAAAGACUAGCCAUGAAGACGAUAGGCCAUCAGUCAACUUUGCUACGGGUGCAUCCUUCAUGGCUCUGGCAAUUGCAGCAAUCUUAGUUGUCCUGCUCAAGGGAGCAUAGAUAGAUUGAGAUGCUACCACUAAAGAAUCCUUCUACUGUGUGUGUUUGGAUGUACCCAAAAAGUGCCUAUAAACUCAACUGCUAAUAUAUUCAUUCAUAAUUAAUUUGCAUAUAAAACCACAUCUAUUCCGUCAAAA